CUGUGGCCAUACCACCCUAAAUGUGCCCAACCUCAUCUGGUCUCAGAAGCUAAGUCAGGAUCAGGCCUGAUUAGUACUUGGAUGGGAAACAAAUCUUCAAAAGAGACUGCUCAGAGCCAAACAGU
rnacentral:rRNA from 1 species